rnacentral:rRNA from 1 species
UGUCUUUUGAGUACCUUCGUUUCCUCGGCGGGUCCGCCCGCCGAUUGGACAAACUUAAACCCUUUGUAAUUGAAAUCAGCGUCUGAAAAAACAUAAUAGUUACAACUUUCAACAACGGAUCUCUUGGUUCUGGCAUCGAUGAAGAACGCAGCGAAAUGCGAUAAGUAGUGUGAAUUGCAGAAUUCAGUGAAUCAUCGAAUCUUUGAACGCACAUUGCGCCCCUUGGUAUUCCAUGGGGCAUGCCUGUUCGAGCGUCAUUUGUACCUUCAAGCUCUGCUUGGUGUUGGGUGUUUGUCUCGCCUUUGCGUGUAGACUCGCCUUAAAACAAUUGGCAGCCGGCGUAUUGAUUUCGGAGCGCAGUACAUCUCGCGCUUUGCACUCAUAACGACGACGUCCAAAAAGUACUUUUUACACUCUUGACCUCGGAUCAGGUAGGGAUACCCGCUGAACUUAAGCAUAUCAAUA